GAUGAAUGCUGGCGGCGUGCCUAACACAUGCAAGUCGAGCGGUAACAGGGGUAAUUUAUUACCUGCUGACGAGCGGCGGACGGCUGAGUAACGCGUGGGAACAUACCCCAAAGUGAGGGAUAACCGCCCGAAAGGGUGGCUAAUACCGCAUAUGGUCUUCGGAUUAAAGGAUUUAUCCGCUUUGGGAAUGGCCUGCGUAUGAUUAGAUAGUUGGUGAGGUAAAGGCUCACCAAGUCUACGAUCAUUAACUGGUCUGAGAGGAUGAUCAGUCAGACUGGAACUGAGACACGGUCCAGACUCCUACGGGUGGCAG
rnacentral:rRNA from 1 species